UACGUAGGGGGCAAGCGUUGUCCGGAAUCAUUGGGCGUAAAGCGCGUGUAGGCGGUCCGGUAAGUCCGCUGUGAAAGUCGAGGGCUCAACCCUCGAAUGCCGGUGGAUACUGUCGGGCUUGAGUACGGGAGAGGCGAGUGGAAUUCCUGGUGUAGCGGUGAAAUGCGCAGAUAUCAGGAGGAACACCGAUUGCGAAGGCAGCUCGCUGGAACGGUACUGACGCUGAGACGCGAAAGCGUGGGGAGCAAACAGG
rnacentral:rRNA from 1 species